AGCUUUGCGCAGUGGCAGUAUCGUAGCCAAUGAGGUUUAUCCGAGGCGUGAUUAUUGCUAAUUAAAAUGGGGACAGCAAUAAUAGCCCUGAUUAACAUAGGUUAAAUGUUUCAGGAAUUCUAAAACACUAUACUAUGUUAGU